UACGUAGGGUGCAAGCGUUGUCCGGAAUUAUUGGGCGUAAAGAGCUCGUAGGCGGUCUGUCGCGUCGGAUGUGAAAAUCCAGGGCUCAACCCUGGACCUGCAUUCGAUACGGGCAGACUAGAGUUCGGUAGGGGAGACUGGAAUUCCUGGUGUAGCGGUGAAAUGCGCAGAUAUCAGGAGGGACACCGGUGGCGAAGGCGGUUCUCUGGGCCUGACCUGACGCUGAGGAGCGAAAGCGUGGGGAGCGAACAGG
rnacentral:rRNA from 1 species